AAGUCGUAACAAGGUUUCCGUAGGUGAACCUGCGGAAGGAUCAUUAAAGAAUAUCGAGCCUCACAGCUCUUAUUCUCACCCUUUGUAUACCAAACUUUGUUCUUGGCAGUUGCAGCCUUUGACGGGUUCCAUGGGCCCUAGCAGGACCGGAAACCCGAACCUAGAAUCUCUGCCGUCUGAGUAUUAUAUAAUAGUUAAAA
rnacentral:misc_RNA from 1 species